AGAUUGAACGCUGGCGGCAUGCUUUACACAUGCAAGUCGAACGGUAACGCGGGGGCGAACCCUGGCGACGAGUGGCGAACGGGUGAGUAAUACAUCGGAACAUGUCCUGGAGUGGGGGAUAGCUCGGCGAAAGCCGGAUUAAUACCGCAUACGCUCUGAGGAGGAAAGCGGGGGACUCGUAAGGGCCUCGCGCUGCGGGAGUGGCCGAUGUCGGAUUAGCUAGUUGGUGAGGUAAAGGCUCACCAAGGCGACGAUCCGUAGCUGGUCUGAGAGGAUGAUCAGCCACACUGGACUGAGACACGGCCCACGACCUCCGUACGGGAGG
rnacentral:rRNA from 1 species